UAUCCGGAUUUAUUGGGUUUAAAGGGUGCGUAGGCGGUUAGAUAAGUUAGAGGUGAAAUCCCGGGGCUUAACUCCGAAAUUGCCUCUAAUACUGUUUGACUAGAGAGUAGUUGCGGUAGGCGGAAUGUAUGGUGUAGCGGUGAAAUGCUUAGAGAUCAUACAGAACACCGAUUGCGAAGGCAGCUUACCAAACUAUAUCUGACGUUGAGGCACGAAAGCGUGGGGAGCAAACAGGAUUAGAUACCCUGGUAGUCCACGCAGUAAACGAUGAUAACUCGCUGUCGGCGAUACACAGUCGGUGGCUAAGCGAAAGCGAUAAGUUAUCCACCUGGGGAGUACGUUCGCAAGAAUGAAACUCAAAGGAAUUGACGGGGGCCCGCACAAGCGGAGGAACAUGUGGUUUAAUUCGAUGAUACGCGAGGAACCUUACCCGGGCUUGAAAGUUAGCGACGGAUCUGGAAACAGGUCUUCCCUUCGGGGCGCGAAACUAGGUGCUGCAUGGUUGUCGUCAGCUCGUGCCGUGAGGUGUCGGGUUAAGUCCCAUAACGAGCGCAACCCCUACCGUUAGUUGCCAUCAGGUGAAGCUGGGCACUCUGGCGGGACUGCCGGUGAUAAGCCGAGAGGAAGGUGGGGAUGACGUCAAAUCAGCACGGCCCUUACG
rnacentral:rRNA from 1 species